ACAUCGUUUUUAUUCUAUGCAUGCAUUCAAAUAAAUCCAUUCUAUCUUAUAUCUUUACAUUUACAUAUUCAUUUUUCUUUCUUAGAAGAAUUUUUCAAGUUUUUAUUUUACUUAAAUCCUACUUACAAUUUGUUCCUUUUUGUUUAUUACUGAUCUCAGCAAGUAUGAUAGCAGUAUAUUAAUUAUUUGUGUAUUUGUUCGUGGAACUUCAUAUAAUCGCGUAAUUUUCCACGUAUAGCGAAGAUUUUUCUAGUUAAAUAUUUUUCCUCACCGCUUCAAUCGUCGUCCCAGGACCAUCUUGUCUGAUACUUUUGUAAAUGAUCACGUUAGUGACGAGUUUAGUAUUUUACGUUGGAUAGAAUUAUCAGGUGUUUAAUUUUGCAAAAUUUACAGUAGGUUAGAGGCCUACCUGCGCGAAAUUCGCCAUCACGCGCUCGUAAAGAGUUUUACCGUAAAAUUCUAACCGAGCCCCGAGUGGUUUGCGGCUGACAGCUUAGCAGGAAUUUUAUCUGGAGUCGGUAGAAGUCUCCUCCUUUCAGCGAAAGGCUUAGAGCGCGACAUCUUGGUUCUAUCUUCGUGAAUAACGAUUGGGCACUUUUUCCAAAAUUGUUCAUCCUCCUUAUGGUAUCUUGCUCCACGAAGGACGCCAAUUAAGCAAAUGUAGAAGAUGGUUCAGUAAGGAGCAAAAGCCUUAGUCCACGGAUAUCGAACAGAAAUAUCUCGCUUUCCUUAAUAAAUCUCUUACGAAUAAAUUUCACUAGACAUUUUUUAAAAAUUUAUUGUGAUCGAUGGAUCCAAAUGUUCUUUUGUGAAAUUUUAACAUAUAGGCAUUGUAUAAUAAAUAUAAUACGACAUUAAAAUAGUAAUAGAAAGCAAUAGGUAAUAUACAAUAAUAAUAAACGAUGAAGUAAAUGAAAACAAACAAAUGGAGUUUGUUAAUAAGAGCGAUAAGAAUUAACAGGAUACGCUCUGUUGAAGAUUAAUUGAAAGCUGUUUAAAAGACUCGAUAAGAGAAACAGUAUCUCCAUAAUUGUAUUAAUGUUGAUAAUCGUUGUCGAACAGAGAAACGAUUCGUCGAUCGCCCGUUAUUCGCCAAGAGGGGGAAACUCUUACUUCCUACACGUUCACGUACGAUUCCCCUGUCAUUAACCCGUCGUAUUAUUAGUGUGGCCAGUGCCAAGCCGACGUGCUUCGGGCGUGUUUCCGACUGCCAAUGAAUUUCACGAUUUCCCUUUCUAAGCUGCGAGUCGAAUGAUUCCUAAUCCAGGAAUAACGGCUAUCUGUAGUGAAAUCCAUAGCAGCGUCGAUCAAUUCUCUUAUUCGCUGAUCGUGCGAGCGAUCGCGUGAUUGCACGAUCGUUUAGCUGUAAUUAAAGCGGCGCGGUGCUUUACGAUGGACGUCUCGCGAAUAAAUGUUCUUAUACGUUCCACAGAUUUUAGUCGUUUACUUUUUAGGAAUUGGAAAUGCCAGGAGAAAUUUUCUGGAAUUGGACACCCUGCUAUUAAUUUCACUUUCGAAUACUUUUCGAAUAAUUUAUAGCAUCUGGUUUGUAAAAUUCCUUAUGUAACUUUCGAUACGAAUCUCCUGAUUACGAAUUCUUAAAAUACAAAUUUUUAAUUUUUCAAUCUCCAAGUUCGCAAUUUUUUCAAGUUUCUUAAGAAUUUACCAUAAUAACGUUUUAACUUAUUUUUACGUGUUUUUUUCUAAUAUAAUCGCACUGUCAUUUUAAGGCAUCUUUUACAAACAUUUUCAGAAAUCUUAUGCUGUUCUUAUCGCAAAUUGCAAUUGAUACGGUCGUACAACCGCGAUUUGCAACUUUCUCCGUUGUUAGAUGGUAUAAACGUAUAUGAGUUAUUAUGUUAUUACUAAGGAAUUUGAUAUUAAAAAUUUUUGCCCUACUGAUUCUAUAACCCAGAGACGUUACGUUGGCAAGAGAAAUUAAUAUGCUUAACGAGAGUAGUAUGCUAAUAGAAAUCCUGAAUAGUAUGCUGUUAGCUGUUCGAAAUGAAAGUUGUUUUACAAGUUUGCUUGCGAUUUUUACAAGUAAUUAAAAGAAUUCUUCUGCACGUGCUUCGCGUUAUUAUGUAUUCAUCGAUAAAUCUUUCUUACACGUCUAUCAAAUGUUAUUACUUAUUGGCCCAGGAAGCCUGUAAUUUUAUUCCAUUAAUACCUAAUCCUACCAUUUUUCUUACGGUAAGUCUUCUUCGGUUUCGAAUUUCUUGGAAACCUUCUUCGAGGGAGAUCUCGUUAGAUGAACGAUUCUGGAAUCUUUGCUUCAGCGAGCAGCUUAUCCAGCCAUUAAGCGUCGAGCAACCCUUGAAACUAAAUCAACAGCUCGACCACGAGAUUACUUGGUUCUGGGAAA